rnacentral:rRNA from 1 species
AAUACAUGCAAGUCGAGCGAACAGAUAAGGAGCUUGCUCCUUUGACGUUAGCGGCGGACGGGUGAGUAACACGUGGAUAACCUACCUAUAAGACUGGGAUAACUUCGGGAAACCGGAGCUAAUACCGGAUAACAUAUUGAACCGCAUGGUUCAAUAGUGAAAGGCGGCUUUGCUGUCACUUAUAGAUGGAUCCGCGCCGUAUUAGCUAGUUGGUAAGGUAACGGCUUACCAAGGCAACGAUACGUAGCCGACCUGAGAGGGUGAUCGGCCACACUGGAACUGAGACACGGUCCAGACUCCUACGGGAGGCAGCAGUAGGGAAUCUUCCGCAAUGGGCGAAAGCCUGACGGAGCAACGCCGCGUGAGUGAUGAAGGUCUUCGGAUCGAAAAACUCUGUUAUCAGGGAAGAACAAAUGUGUAAGUAACUGUGCACAUCUUGACGGUACCUGAUCAGAAAGCCACGGCUAACUACGUGCCAGCAGCCGCGGUAAUACGUAGGUGGCAAGCGUUAUCCGGAAUUAUUGGGCGUAAAGCGCGCG